CAGUCGCCACGGUAAUACGAGGGGUGCAAGCGUUAUUCGGAUUGAUUGGGUGUAAAGGGUGUGCAGACGGCUUAUUAAGUCACUUGUUAAAUUCUUCGGCCUAACUGAAGGUCUGCAAGUGAUACUGAUGAGCUAGAGGGUGGAAGAGAGAAGUGGAAUUCUCGGAGUAGCGGUAAAAUGCGUAGAUCUCGAGAGGAACACCAAUGGCGGAGGCAGCUUCUUGGUCCAUUCCUGACGUUCAUACACGAAAGCGUGGGGAGCAAACAGGAUUAGAUACCCGCGUAGUCCCUGUCUCUUAUAC
rnacentral:rRNA from 1 species